GAUGAACGCUGGCGGCGUGCAUAACACAUUCAAGUCGAACGGACGGUAGCAAUACUGUUAGUGGCGGACGGGCGAGUAACACGUGAGCAACCUGCCUAUGUGAGGGGAAUAACAGACGGAAACAGCUGCUAAUACCGCAUAAUGUAUUCGAACUGCAUGGUUUGAAUACCAAAGAUUUUAUCGCACAUAGAUGGGCUCGCGUCCGAUUAGUUAGAUGGUGAGGUAACGGCUCACCAUGACUGCGAUCGGUAGCCGGACUGAGAGGUUGAACGGCAACAUUGGAGCAGAGAAACGGGCCAGACUCCUACGGGAGGAAGCGGUGGGGAAUAUUGGGCAAUGGGCGCAAGCCUGACCCAGCGACGCCGCGUGAAGGAAGACGGUCUUCGGAUUGUAAACUUUAAACAACAGGGAAGAACAAAUGACUGUACCUGUUAGGAAGCCACGGCUAACUACGUGCCAGCAGCCGCCGUAAUAC
rnacentral:rRNA from 1 species